rnacentral:rRNA from 1 species
ACACUGUUCAUGGGUUACCGCGGCUGCUGGCACGGAGUUAGCCGGUGCUUCUUCUGUGAGUGAUGUCCUUCCUGCCGGUUAUUGACCCGCAGGCCUUCUUCCUCACUGAAAGUGCUUUACAACCCGAAGGCCUUCUUCACACACGCGGCAUGGCUGGAUCAGGGUUGCCCCCAUUGUCCAAUAUUCCCCACUGCUGCCUCCCGUAGGAGUCUGGGCCGUGUCUCAGUCCCAGUGUGGCUGAUCAUCCUCUCAGACCAGCUACGGAUCGUCGCCUUGGUGAGCCGUUACCUCACCAACCAGCUAAUCCGACAUAGGCUCAUCCGAUAGCGCGAGGCCCGAAGGUCCCCCGNUUUCCCCCGUAGGGCGUAUGCGGUAUUAGCCUGGGUUUCCCCAGGUUAUCCCCCACUACCGGGCAGAUUCCUAUGCAUUACUCACCCGUCCGCCGCUCGCCACCAGGGAGCAAGCUCCCCGUGCUGCCGCUCGACUUGCAUGUGUUAGGCCUGCCGCCAGCGUUCAAUCU